AGUGAACGCUGGCGGUAGGCCUAACACAUGCAAGUCGAACGGCAGCACAGUAAGAGCUUGCUCUUACGGGUGGCGAGUGGCGGACGGGUGAGGAAUACAUCGGAAUCUACUUUUUCGUGGGGGAUAACGUAGGGAAACUUACGCUAAUACCGCAUACGACCUACGGGUGAAAGCAGGGGAUCUUCGGACCUUGCGUGAUUGAAUGAGCCGAUGUCGGAUUAGCUAGUUGGCGGGGUAAAGGCCCACCAAGGCGACGAUCCGUAGCUGGUCUGAGAGGAUGAUCAGCCACACUGGAACUGAGACACGGUCCAGACUCCUACGGGAGGCAGCAGUGGGGAAUAUUGGACAAUGGGCGCAAGCCUGAUCCAGCCAUACCGCGUGGGUGAAGAAGGCCUUCGGGUUGUAAAGCCCUUUUGUUGGGAAAGAAAAGCAGCAGGUUAAUACCCCGCUGUUCUGACGGUACCCAAAGAAUAAGCACCGGCUAACUUCGCG
rnacentral:rRNA from 1 species